rnacentral:rRNA from 1 species
AUGCGCCAACCAAUGGGGAUGGAUGGAUGGAUGGUGUCGACGUUUACCCGUCUUGUUGUCGAGGGAGAGGUACCACGUCUGGCCGUCGGGGGAGGUCUUGACGUGGUCCUCGGCGCCGGUGAUGUCGAAGUUGUCCCCGAACGACGGGGUCGCCGCCGCAUCAGCACCCUGGAACUGGAGCUGGAAGCAGCAGCAGCAAGAAGCUGCAAUGGCGGCGCACGCCAGGAGAGCGCCGACGCACGGACGCCCCAUCGCUUCCCCCUCCACAAGACAACCCCAAGAGGAACGAAGACACUGUAUCGCCGACGACGAGUGGGGAACGGGGAACGGCAAAAGGCCACAAACAGGCACAGCAGUGGGCUGUGGAGGAGCGUGCUAAUGCUUUGGUCCGGGGCAAAGCACAAGGCACAGGACACAGCUUUCUUAUAG